UACGUAGGGGGCUAGCGUUGUCCGGAUUUAUUGGGCGUAAAGAGCGUGUAGGCGGCCAGGUAGGUCUGCUGUGAAAACUCGAGGCUCAACCUCGAGCCGUCGGCGGAAACCAUCUGGCUAGAGUCCGGAAGAGGAGAGUGGAAUUCCUGGUGUAGCGGUGAAAUGCGCAGAUAUCAGGAAGAACACCCGUGGCGAAGGCGGCUCUCUGGGACGGUACUGACGCUGAGACGCGAAAAGCGUGGGGAGCGAACAGG
rnacentral:rRNA from 1 species